AUGACCUUCAUCAGCAUCUUCAUCUGGAUGUUAACUUGUUUCUGUUUCAGAGAAUCAAGAGGUGAAGUGACCGUUGUAAGCUCCAAAAAUGAACUCUUGUCCACCUUGUCCUACACCGUCAUUCAGACACCUGCAGUCAAAUCUGUUCAUCUACGAGAAACAGUUACUAUCACCUGUAAAACUAAUCCUGAAGUCUAUGAGAGCUUGGGUUAUCACUUUCUGUCCUGGUACUUACAGAAACCUGGAGAAGCUCCUAAACUCCUGAUAUAUUAUGCAAGCACCCGCCAGUCGGGGACUCCAUCAAGAUUCAGUGGCAGUGGAUCAAAAACAGAUUUUACUCUGAGCAUCAGUGAAGUUCAGACUGAAGAUGCAGGAGAUUAUUACUGUGUGGGUCAACACUUAAUCAGUAGUAGCUGGGUGUUCACACAGUGA